CCAAGAUACGCAACGUCAAUUAUUCUUCCUCUCUCUUCUACCAAUGGCAAGCACCGAUCGUCGGAAAUCAUGCAAACAGAUACAUCGCAGGAAAAGACAAAAACUGUUUGACGAAACCGGAAGAAAUCUGGAAAUCAGAUAAUUUACUUGCAACAAUUUCUGUAAUAUAAAACAUGAAAAUUAAUUAAUUAAGAACUAAGAAAAUCAAAGUUCUAAAAACAAUUUCUUCUUUCCACGUUAAAAAACAUCUCGUAUACGUACAAAGUAUACGAAUGUGUAUGUACAUGUGUGUGCACUGCUUGACAGUUUUACACGGAAAUGCCUGCGUUGCCAAAAGAUUUAAUUAUAUUUCUGGAUAAUUUUAUUUCUAACUUGCACCAAUAACAGGUCACAUCGAUAAAUACAGACAAGUAGUCGAUUAUGUUACAAUAUAUAAUGAAUUAUUUUCUUCGAAGACUGCAACACAUACAUGAUCUAUUUCAUCGAUACAUAAUUCGCAUCUAAUUAAUUAGCCUGAAUCUAUCAAGCUAUAACAGAUAUAACACAGAUAACGCUCUUGUACGCAAAGAAUAAAUAAACUAGUUGCAUCGCAACUUAUUCGAAAUGCACAAUCAAAGCAAAGUAGCUUGUAAAUCCUAUAUCAGAUCAUGUAGCUACGCGCGUGUAGCAACUUAUUCUAAUUAGUGUUUAAAAAUAAGAGCGCACGUAUAUAAGCGUAACACACUUUUUUUUAUACAUUUUGUUUUUAUUCUUGUUAUUGUGAUUACUCAUAGCAGAAUAAAUAUAUAUAUAUAUAUAUCAAGCGAAAAUUGGAAUGUUCCUCUUUCUUGGAAUACGCCACAGAUAGUGGAGAAUCAUUGACAAGUAUUGACUAAAAUUUCUGUCCUAUACGUAAUAACUAUCCUCUAAUUACAAUUGUUGUAAUUUCUCUGGAACGUAUGUGUAAUCGGUAUGUGCAUGUUUAUUCAAUUCGCGUACAAUAUACAUGUACACUUGCGAAUGCACUCAACAAUAAAUACACGGCAUACGAGAAUAUAACAAGUGUAUCUCUUUACAUAUAACUACGUUAUUGCUAGUCGGGAUAAUUAAAAGUGGAACACUAUAACGCGUCUGCUUUCUUCGAAACAAAAGUCAACCCGCUGUUUUUUUUACAAACAAUUCUUUCUCAACUAUAAUGAGCAGUAUUUCCCAAUGUUAUGUCUCGAUCAUUACAUCAUUACAUCAGCCUGUCAGCCCCCUCAUGGACUUUGCUUAAAUUUUACAUAAGUUUUACGCGAUACUUAAUAGAUGAAAACAAAAUAGCUUUUGUUAUAUAAUAAAAAGUGUACUUAA